rnacentral:rRNA from 1 species
CGGGAAGAGCUCAAAUUUAAAAUCUGGCGUCUUCGGCGUCCGAGUUGUAAUUUAGAGAAGCGUUUUCCGCGCCGGACCGUGUACAAGUCUCCUGGAACGGAGCGUCAUAGAGGGUGAGAAUCCCGUCUUUGACACGGACCCCCGGUGCUCUGUGAUACGCUCUCGAA